rnacentral:rRNA from 1 species
GAUGAACGCUGGCGGCGUGCCUAAUACAUGCAAGUCGAGCGAACGGACGAGAAGCUUGCUUCUCUGAUGUUAGCGGCGGACGGGUGAGUAACACGUGGAUAACCUACCUAUAAGACUGGGAUAACUUCGGGAAACCGGAGCUAAUACCGGAUAAUAUUUUGAACCGCAUGGUUCAAAAGUGAAAGACGGUCUUGCUGUCACUUAUAGAUGGAUCCGCGCUGCAUUAGCUAGUUGGUAAGGUAACGGCUUACCAAGGCAACGAUGCAUAGCCGACCUGAGAGGGUGAUCGGCCACACUGGAACUGAGACACGGUCCAGACUCCUACGGGAGGCAGCAGUAGGGAAUCUUCCGCAAUGGGCGAAAGCCUGACGGAGCAACGCCGCGUGAGUGAUGAAGGUCAUCGGAUCGUAAAACUCUGUUAUUAGGGAAGAACAUAUGUGUAAGUAACUGUGCACAUCUUGACGGUACCUAAUCAGAAAGCCACGGCUAACUACGUG